AACGAACGCUGGCGGCAUGCCUAACACAUGCAAGUCGAACGAGACCUUCGGGUCUAGUGGCGCACGGGUGCGUAACGCGUGGGAAUCUGCCCUCUGGUACGGAAUAACUCAGGGAAACUUGAGCUAAUACCGUAUAAUGACUUCGGUCCAAAGAUUUAUCGCCUGAGGAUGAGCCCGCGUAGGAUUAGCUUGUUGGUGAGGUAAAGGCUCACCAAGGCGACGAUCCUUAGCGGUCUGAGAGGAUGAUCAGCCACACUGGGACUGAGACACGGCCCAGACUCCUACGGGAGGCAGCAGUGGGGAAUAUUGGACAAUGGGCGAAAGCCUGAUCCAGCAAUGCCGCGUGAGUGAUGAAGGCCUUAGGGUUGUAAAGCUCUUUUACCCGGGAUGAUAAUGACAGUACCGGGAGAAUAA
rnacentral:rRNA from 1 species